rnacentral:rRNA from 1 species
AGAGUUUGAUCAUGGCUCAGAACGAACGCUGGCGGCGUGGAUAAGACAUGCAAGUCGAACGGGACUAUUUCUAGUAGCAAUACCGGGAAUAGUUUAGUGGCGAACGGGUGCGUAACACGUGGGCAAUCUGCCGAAAAGUGGGGGAUAGCUCGCCGAAAGGCGAAUUAAUACCGCAUGUGGUGAGGGAAGACAUCUUUUUGAAUCCAAAGGUGGCGCAAGCUACCGCUUUUUGAGGAGCCCGCGGCCUAUCAGCUAGUUGGUGAGGUAACGGCUCACCAAGGCGAUGACGGGUAGCUGGUCUGAGAGGACGACCAGUCACACUGGAACUGAGACACGGUCCAGACACCUACGGGUGGCAGCAGUCGAGAAUUUUUCUCAAUGGGGGAAACCCUGAAGGAGCGACGCCGCGUGGAGGAUGAAGGCUUUCGGGUUGUAAACUCCUGUCAUUUGGGAACAAGGCGUUAAAAUUAACUGUUUUGACGUUGAUAGUACCAGAAGAGGAAGGGACGGCUAACUCUGUGCCAGCAGCCGCGGUAAUACAGAGGUCUCAAGCGUUGUUCGGAUUCAUUGGGCGUAAAGGGUGCGUAGGUGGCGCCGUAAGUCGGGUGUGAAAUUUCGGAGCUUAACUCCGAAACUGCAUUCGAUACUGCGGUGCUUGAGGACUGGAGAGGAGACUGGAAUUCAUGGUGUAGCAGUGAAAUGCGUAGAGAUCAUGAGGAAGACCAGUGGCGAAGGCGGGUCUCUGGACAGUUCCUGACACUGAGGCACGAAGGCCCAGGGGAGCAACGGGGAUUAGAUACCCCAGUAGUCC